CCGAGUUUACAACUCCCAAACCCCUGUGAACAUACCUAUAUGUUGCCUCGGCGGAUCAGCCCGCGCCCCGUAAAACGGGACGGCCCGCCGCAGGAUCCACAAACUCUGUUUUUACUUGUAACUUCUGAGUAACAAAACAAAUAAAUCA
rnacentral:misc_RNA from 1 species